UCCGUAGGGGGGACCUGCGGAAGGAUCAUUACCUAGAGUUGUAGGCUUUGCCUGCUAUCUCUUACCCAUGUCUUUUAAGUACCUUACGUUUCCUCGGCGGGUCCGCCCGCCGAUUGGACAAUUUAAACCAUUUGCAGUUGCAAUCAGCGUCUGAAAAAACUUAAUAGUUACAACUUUCAACAACGGAUCUCUUGGUUCUGGCAUCGAUGAAGAACGCAGCGAAAUGCGAUAAGUAGUGUGAAUUGCAGAAUUCAGUGAAUCAUCGAAUCUUUGAACGCACAUUGCGCCCCUUGGUAUUCCAUGGGGCAUGCCUGUUCGAGCGUCAUUUGUACCUUCAAGCUCUGCUUGGUGUUGGGUGUUUGUCUCGCCUCUGCGUGUAGACUCGCCUCAAAACAAUUGGCAGCCGGCGUAUUGAUUUCGGAGCGCAGUACAUCUCGCGCUUUGCACUCAUAACGACGACGUCCAAAAGUACAUUUUUACACUCUUGACCUCGGAUCAGGUAGGGAUACCCGCUGAACUUAAGCAUAUCAAAAGGCGGAGGA
rnacentral:rRNA from 1 species